CUUGCUACUUUAUUCAAUAAAUAUAAAACGAUAUGAAAUAUGUCUGUUUUCAUACCAAGAACGAUUAAAUAAGCUUUCUUUUUCAGAUUGUUUUCAAAUUCUCCUUACAUGUUUCACUUCCGCUUGAAGAAGAAGACGCUGUUAUGGCGUCCUAGCAACAAGGCAAAAAAACAACAAAGUUUUUGCAAUGUCAACUUGUACAUACAUAAUUUCAAGUUUAUUGACUAAAGAAUUGACAAGUCCUUUAGAAAAUCGAUAUAAUGUUAAUUUGUUAGUUAUGUUUAGCUUUUAUUUAUUAUAUUCAUUAUUUAAUUACAUAAUUAUUGCGUCUAAAUAUUAGAGACACCAGUUGCGGUAUACCAACAUUAGAAGGGAUUUGUAAAGAUUGCGAGUGUGGAUUUUAUACAUUUAGUUAAGACUUAACCAGGAGCAGUUGCGAAAAAUGCAACUCUAGGCCCUCUGGCAGGAAUCGAAUAUGUGGUCUUGUCAUUCCGUUCCCUGCUAGCAGAGACCCCAGAGUAUCCUUUUCACGGCGGAGCUUUCCCUUCGGCUUCGCCGUGAAAGCGAUACUCUGCUAGUAGGGUAGCCAUUCCUCUAACUAAUUGAGCUACAGAGGCCAGUGGCCGGGCAGUGACUAAGACCCGGUUUAGACGGCGAACUUUUCAUGCGCCGAAUCUAAUUGUCGUAGAUACGGCAAAAUAUCGGAAACUGAUUUAGACGUCGAACUUAAUUGCACCGUACCAAAUUGCGAGGACACUAUAUUGGAAAUAUUUACAAUGCAAAUAUAUGAUAAUCAUAUUAUGAUGUUAAAAAAUAAUUAUGCAUUAGGUUCGGCGCAUGAAAAGUACGGCGUCUAAAUCAAUGUCGAACCUGUGUC